UACAGAGGUCUCAAGCGUUGUUCGGAUUCAUUGGGCGUAAAGGGUGCGUAGGCGGCGCGGUAAGUCGGGUGUGAAAUCUCGGAGCUUAACUCCGAAACUGCAUUCGAUACUGCCGUGCUUGAGGACUGGAGAGGGAACUGGAAUUUACGGUGUAGCAGUGAAAUGCGUAGAUAUCGUAAGGAAGACCAGUGGCGAAGGCGAGUUCCUGGACAGUUGCUGACACUGAGGCACGAAGGCUAGGGGAGCAAACGGG
rnacentral:rRNA from 1 species